CCUACGGGCGGCAGCAGUGAGGAAUAUUGGUCAAUGGGCUUACGCCUGAACCAGCCAAGUCGCGUGAGGGAAGACUGCCCUAUGGGUUGUAAACCUCUUUUGUCAGGGAGCAACGCCGGCUACGUGUAGCCGGACUGAGAGUACCUGAAGAAAAAGCAUCGGCUAACUCCGUGCCAGCAGCCGCGGUAAUACGGAGGAUGCGAGCGUUAUCCGGAUUGAUUGGGUUAAAAGGGUGCGUAGGCGGAAUGCCAAGUCAGCGGUAAAAUCGCGGGGCUCAACCUCGCUCAGCCGUUGAAACUGGCGUUCUUGAGUGGGCGAGAAGUAUGCGGAAUGCGGGGUGGAGCGGUGAAAUGCAUAGAUAUCACGCAGAACUCCGAUUGCGAAGGCAGCAUACCGGCGCCCAACUGACGCUGAAGCACGAAAGCGUGGGUAUCGAACAGGAUUAGAUACCCUAGUAGUC
rnacentral:rRNA from 1 species